rnacentral:lncRNA from 1 species
AUGCCUGAUGAACUAUGGACUGAGGUUCGUGACAUUGUACAGGACACAGGAAUCAAGACCAUCCCCAUGAAAAACAAAUGCAAAAAAGCAAAAUGGCUGUCUGGGGAGGCCUUACAAAUAGCUGUGAAAAGAAGAGAAAUGAAAAGCAAAGGAGAAGAGGAAAGAUAUAAGCAUCUGAAUGCAGAGUUCCAAAGAAUAGCAAGGAGAGAUAAGAAAGGCUUCCUCAGCGAUCAGUGCAAAGAGAUUGAGGAAAACAACAGAAUGGGAAAGACGAGAGACCUCUUCAAGAAAAUUAGAGAUACCAAGGGAACAUUUCAUGCAAAGAUGGGCUCGAUAAAGGACAGAAAUGGUAUGAACCUAACAGAAGCAGAAGAUAUUAAGAAGAGGUGGCAAGAAUACACAGAAGAACUAAAAAAAAAAGAUCUUCACAACCAAGAUAAUCACAAUGGUGUGAUCACUGACCUAGAGCCAAACAUCCUGGAAUGUGAAGUCAAGUGGAACUUAGGAAGCAUCACUAUGAACAAAGCUAGUGGAGGUGAUGGAAUUCCAGUUGAGCUAUUUCAAAUCCUGAAUGAUGAUGCUGUGAAAGUGCUGCACUCAAUAUGUCAGCAAAUUUGGAAAACUCAGCAGUGGCCACAGGACUGGAAAAGGUCAGAUUUCAUUCCAAUCCCAAAGAAAGGCAAUGCUAAAGAAUGCUCAAACUACCACACAAUUGCAGUCAUCUCACACACUAGUAAAGUAAUGCUCACAAUUCUCCAAGCCAGGCUUCAGCAAUAUGUGAACCAUGAACUUCCAGAUGUUCAAGCUGGUUUUAGAAAAGGCAGAGGAACCAGAGAUCAAAUUGUCAACAUCCACUGGAUCAUCAAAAAAGUAAGAGAGUUCCAGAAAAACAUCUAUUUCUGCUUUAUUGACUAUGCCAAAGCCUUUGACUGUGUGGAUCACAAGAAACUGGGGAAAAUUCUGAAAGAGAUAGGAAUACCAGACCACCUGACCUGCCUCUUGAGAAAUGUAUAUGCAGGUCAGGAAGCAACAGUUAGAACUGGACAUGGAACAACAGAGUAG